GACCUGUGUGUCUAGGUGGGCAGUGCCCAAUGAUGUACGACCUGUGUGUCUAGGUAGGUAGUGCCCAAUGAUGUACGACCUGUGUGUCUAGGUAGGUAGUGCCCAAUGAUGUACGACCUGUGUGUCUAGGUGGGCAGUGCCCAAUGAUGUACGACCUGUGUGUCUAGGUAGGUAGUGCCCAAUGAUGUACGACCUGUGUGUCUAGGUAGGUAGUGCCCAAUGAUGUACGACCUGUGUGUCUAGGUAGGUAGUGCCCAAUGAUGUACGACCUGUGUGUCUAGGUAGGUAGUGCCCA